rnacentral:rRNA from 1 species
CCGUAGCCUGGUAGCGGGGGAUAACUAAUUGGAAACGAAUAGCUAAUACCGCAUAAUAUUAAUUAAUUUGCAUGAUAAUUGAUUGAAAGAUGCAACUGCAUCACUACCAGAUGGACCUGCGUUGUAUUAGCUAGUAGGUGAGGUAACGGCUCACCUAGGCGACGAUACAUAGCCGACCUGAGAGGGUGAUCGGCCACACUGGGACUGAGACACGGCCCAG